rnacentral:lncRNA from 1 species
CCAGACUGCAGCUUCUGCUCUUGACUCUAGAACCCUUUAUCCACCAGUAGACAGUUAGAUUUUUUGAAAAUGUAGACCAGCACCAAGGCUCCACUACUUAUGUGUACAAUUACAUUACAUGUAAUCUGAAGUCCGCACCAGACUCCCCUGUGGCCUGGGAGGCCCUUUGUCAUCUGGUCCCUGCUUCCCUCUGCGGCCUCACCCACCCUCCAACCUCUUGCUCACUAAGCUCCAACUGUGUGGCUUGUGUAUUCUUCCAGCUUAGUGCUUGGGUCCUUCACACUGGCUGGGCCCUUGGUCUCUAAGGCUCUUCCCCAACCUUUGUGUGGCGGCUCCACACUUCCCUUGGGAGGCCUUUCCUGCCUACCUUAUCCAAGGUACCCCCUGACUAUCCUCAUUGCAUCACACUGUUGGCAUUAUAGCCCCCCAUCUCUACUUGAUACGUUCUUGCACAUUUGUUUACUAGCUAAUUCUCUCUCUCCUCUGGAACAGAAGCUCUGUGUGACUACAGACUUAGUCUCCCCUAUUCACCACUGCAUCACCACACCUGGUCAGCACCUCAUCUGUAUGAUGUGACCUACUGCCCAGCAGUUCCCUGGGCCACAUUCACUGGUCUGGAAGGUUCUCUGCUCACUGUUCUGAUCCAAAUGUCUCAGCCAUUCCUUCUCGCCAUUCCUUCUCACCAUUCCCGAUUACAAAAGAUCCUGACUUCCGCCCUGCUAGCAGACUCUCCCUUGCUGGCUUUAAUGAAGCAAGCUGCCAUCCUGGGGAGGGUCAAGUGGCAAAGAAUCGAGGGCGUCCUCUAACCAACAGCCAGGAAGGAACUGAGGAGUUCAGUCCAGCAGGCCAAAAGGAAGUGAAUCCUGUCAACCACCCCGUAAAUGAGCUUGAAAGAUGAUUCCUCAGUCAAGCCUUCACACAAGACCCAAUCCUGGCCAACACCCUGACUGCAGCCUAUGAGAGACCCCAACGCAGAGGCCCAGCUGAGCUGUGCCUGGAUUCCCGACCCACGGAAACUGACAUUGUACAUGAUUGCUGUUUAAGCCACGAAGUUGGUGGUAAUUUGUGAUGCAGCGAUAGAUAACACAUUGGGUGCUUAAUGGAAAAGAAAAACCACUGCGCUGCAAUGUUAACAAGUUCUUCCAAAUCACCCACAUUGGUGAAUAAACAUGUAAAGAAUAGAGACAACCCAACAACUAUUGAUCUUUUUUAUGAUUAAAAAG